ACGAAGGGGGCGAGCGUUGUUCGGAUUUACUGGGCGUAAAGGGCGCGCAGGCGGUCUUGAAAGUCAGGCGUGAAAGCCCCGGGCUUAACCUGGGAAUUGCGCUUGAUACUCUGAGACUGGAGUACGGGAGAGGAGAGUGGAAUUCCCAGUGUAGAGGUGAAAUUCGUAGAUAUUGGGAAGAACACCAGUGGCGAAGGCGGCUCUCUGGACCGUAACUGACGCUGAGGCGCGAAAGCGUGGGGAGCAAACAGGA
rnacentral:rRNA from 1 species